ACAUGCAGUCGAACGCUUCUUUCCUCCCGAGUGCUUGCACUCAAUUGGAAAGAGGAGUGGCGGACGGGUGAGUAACACGUGGGUAACCUACCCAUCAGAGGGGGAUAACACUUGGAAACAGGUGCUAAUACCGCAUAACAGUUUAUGCCGCAUGGCAUAAGAGUGAAAGGCGCUUUCGGGUGUCGCUGAUGGAUGGACCCGCGGUGCAUUAGCUAGUUGGUGAGGUAACGGCUCACCAAGGCCACGAUGCAUAGCCGACCUGAGAGGGUGAUCGGCCACACUGGGACUGAGACACGGCCCAGACUCCUACGGGAGGCAGCAGUAGGGAAUCUUCGGCAAUGGACGAAAGUCUGACCGAGCAACGCCGCGUGAGUGAAGAAGGUUUUCGGAUCGUAAAACUCUGUUGUUAGAGAAGAACAAGGACGUUAGUAACUGAACGUCCCCUGACGGUAUCUAACCAGAAAGCCACGGCUAACUACGUGCCAGCAGCCGCGGUAAUACGUAGGUGGCAAGCGUUGUCCGGAUUUAUUGGGCGUAAAGCGAGCGCAGGCGGUUUCUUAAGUCUGAUGUGAAAGCCCCCGGCUCAACCGGGGAGGGUCAUUGGAAACUGGGAGACUUGAGUGCAGAAGAGGAGAGUGGAAUUCCAUGUGUAGCGGUGAAAUGCGUAGAUAUAUGGAGGAACACCAGUGGCGAAGGCGGCUCUCUGGUCUGUAACUGACGCUGAGGCUCGAAAGCGUGUGGAGCAAACAGGAUUAGAUACCCUGGUAGUCCACGCCGUAAACGAUGAGUGCUAAGUGUUGGAGGGUUUCCGCCCUUCAGUGCUGCAGCAAACGCAUUAAGCACUC
rnacentral:rRNA from 1 species